UACAUCAAAAAAUGAUCACUCGUCAUACCUGAAUGUUAUACUCGUAUCCUUUUCCAGGAUGCCCGUACAAGUUUCAAAGACACGGUGAAAUGGUCCAAGUCCUCUUCCAGGAGAAGCCUCGAAAGUGAUACCAAGAGCGUAACAAGAUUGCCCCCAGGUUUGCCCUCUCCUCGUCAUCCAGAAGGAUUCAAGCAGGCGGAGCAGCAGCCUGAGGAAAAGGCCUGGAACCUCUAAGAGCUGCGUCCAGGUUGAAGCAGCCUUGAACUUGAGCAGUUCUGCUGACUUUCUGCACCGGGGAAGGUCAGCCUGGGGCCAAGGAUUAAUCCUCCUCAGGUGCUCUGGCCGAGGCGCGAGCUGGAAGCAGGUACAACGAAGGCCAGGUUUGCGCUCAAGGAGAAGAGAGACACUUUGAAGUGCCUGCUCUGGGCAGCGAAGCAAAUUUAUGUCAUGUCCUCCUUACUGGCUGCUGGAAACUGUACACAGGCCAGUUCGUAAAGGUGCCAAAUUCACCCUCACGUGGUUGAAUUCAGCUGCUGAGAUGGUGUGUUGUGUUGUUUUGUUUUUUUAGGGCCACACCCGUGGCAUAUGGAAGUUCCCAGACUAGGGGUUGAAUUGGAGCUGCACCUGCCAACCAGCACCACAGCCACAACAACACGGGACCUGAGCCUUACCUGCGACCUACACCACAGCUCACAGCAGCACUGGAUCGUUAACCUGUUGAGCGAGACCAGGGAUUGCUCAUCCUCGUGCAUACUAGUCUGCUUUGUUGCUGCUGAGCCACGGUGGGAACUCUUGGAGGCUGGAUUUUCAUGUCCCUGCACCAAGCAGUCAUUGAAUGCACGUUGACUCCGGGAAGAGGAGACUGGCUAUAGUUUGCAUCUACUAACCCCCAACUCCCAGUCCAUCUCUCUCCCCGCCACCUCUUGACAACCACAGCCCCCAAGUCCAUAUGCUGAAAUCCUGACCUACGAAGAUGAUGGUAUUAGGAGAUAACACCUUUGGAAAGUGCUAAAGGCAUGAUGGUGGAUCCUGCACCACACAUGGUGUUUUAUGAGAGGGUCCAUGAAGAUGCCUCGCCCUUUUUACUAUGUGAAGACACAGAGAGAAGGUACCGGCUGGGAACAAGAAGAGAGACCUCACCAGAGAAUGACCGUGCUGGCCAUAAAGACAUUUGCUUUUCUUUAAAAGUGUUUUGAAUUAUUUUAGAGGCUUAUAAAAUACCUUUAUUUCUUUCAAGAAAAACAGGAUAUACAAGUUAAUGUAUGAGUAUGUUCAUCUUUAUACCAACACAAUCAUAAACUGUGACUUAGAAAAGUUUACUGUGGAGAUAGAAGACCAGGAGGGCAGAAGUACCCCAGGCCCACCAAAGUCACACUGGCAUCCUGCUUCGCAGCACUCUAGUUAUAACUCCCUUUGAAGCUGCGAAAAUAAUCAUUGUCCUAAUUUUUAGUGUAAUCACUCAUUGCAUUUCUUUACAGUUUUAUCACUCAAGUAUGCAUCCUUAAACACUAGUUUCGUCUUUAAAAAACCUUUUGUGAAUUAAAUUUCUUUUCUUCUGGAGGGUAUAACUUCAUCCCUUCCUUUGCCUGAAAAUCAAUCUGUUGAAGAAUGUGAGUCCUCUGAUCUGUAGUUUUCCACUCUUUGGCUCUUGCUGAAUGCAUCUCAAGGGACAGUUUCGUUUUCCUCUGUCCUCUGUAUUUUUGCAAAUGGUCAGUGACUACGGAGGCUCGGUUUUACUUGAGUCUAACCCCUUUGGUGAUGUUCUGUUGGUGGCGUGGUCUUCCUUCACUGGGAGGCACAUCACACCAGACCGUCUUCCCUUUGGUCAUUUUAUUUUAUUUUAUUUUUUCAGCCAUGCCCAUGGCAUGCAGAAGUUCCCGGGCCAGGGAUUGAAUCUGUGCCACAGCCGUGGCCUGAGCCACAGUCGUGACAAUGCCAGAUCCCCAACUCACUGUGCCACCAGGGAACGCCCCCUUUGGUAAUUUUAGAAACCGCUGGUGCUCAGUUCUAUGUUAAUGUUUCUCUAGUUAACUUGGUUUUCUACAGCUCAUUAUCCAUGGAUACCCAGGAAGGACUCACGUGCAGAUUGAUCUCUGAGUUUUUGAUGUCAGUGAUUUUUUAUGCCCUGAUAGACUUGAAAAUCAGUUUUUUUGGAUAUAAGAUUCUUAAUUCACCUGUUUUUUUCCUCAGAUAUUGUGGUGAUGAAUUUAAGUGUCAGUUUAGCUGGGCCGUGGUGCCCAUGUAUAUUGUCCAAGAUUACUCUGGAUGAUUUGCAUUGGUGGAUUUGAGUAACGAAGAUUGCUCUCCAUAACGUGGGUAGACCUCGCCCAGUCCGUUGAAGGCUUGAAUAGAACAAAAGGCUGACAUUCUCCCAGGUGAAAUUUUUUACUACUUGAGUUACAGCUUUCUCUCUUCCCUUUUCUCCAGACUGAUAGCCUUUGAACUUGAACUGCAACACCAACUCUUUCGUCUUUUCCAACCUACAAGUCCGGAGUUUGCACUUGUCAGCCUCCAUAUUUACAAGAGCGAAUUCCUUAAAAUAAUUUUUUCUCUCUCUCUCCUCCCCCCAAAUCUUAUUGGUUCUGUUUCUCUGAAGAAUUCUGGCUAAUAUAGGUAUUGUAAUAUAUUUCUCCAGAGUAUUUUAGAAUGAAGUUUGAUGUUGAAAUGUCUGAUGAAAGUCUGAUUUUUUUCCCCUUAGGGGUAAUUCUCUCCUUUUUCCAGGUGCCCAAAGGAAUUUCUGUUCUUUAAAGUCUAGGGCUCAGAUCUUAUACAUGUUUAGCUAUAUUUAUACAUAAAUAUUUAAUCUUUUGGUGCUACUACUAUGAGUGGUAUUGCAUUUAUUUAUUUAUUAUUUAUUUAUCUUUUGUCCUUUUAGGGCACACCCGUGGCAUAUGGAGGUUCCCAGGCUAGGGGUCACGGAGCUGUUGCUGCCGGCCUGUGCCAGAGCCACAGCAACGCCAGAGCUGAGCCAUGUCUGCGACCAACAUCACAGCUCACGGCAACGCCAGAUCCUUAACCCACUGAGCAAGGUCUGGGAUCGAACCCGAAACCUCAUGGUUCCUAGUCGGAUUCAUUUCCACUGAGCCAUGAUGGGAACUUCCCGUUAUUGCUUUUAAAUUCAUUUACUAAUAGUAAGUUGUUAAUAUAUGGAAAUAUGAUUAAUUUUUGUUUGUUGACCUUGUAUGCUUUAUCAUGCUAAACUCUUUCAUUGUAGGAGGCUUUUUGUUUCUUUUGGUAUAUUCUUUAGAAUUUUCUACACAGGCACUGAUGGUGUUUGUAACUAGAGGUUUAUUUUUCCUUUAAAAGAUCUACAUGAUUUUAUUUCUGCCUUUUUGCAUUAGCUAGAACUUUCAGUUUGAUGUUCAAUAGGAGUGGUGACAUUGGACAUUGUUGCCUUACUCCCAAUCUUAAGAGAAAGCAUUGAGUUCCCUACCAUUAAGUGUGGUGUUAGCUGUAGGUUUUUAUUUUGGUAGAUGCCCCUUUUUAGGUUGAGGAUAUUCUUUUCUAAAUCUUAGUUUGCUGCAGUUUUUUUUCAUAAAUGAAUGUUGAGUUUAGUCAGUUUUUUUGCAUCAAUUGAUAUGAUCCUAUGUUUUUCUUUUCCUUAAACUGUUAACAUGGUUGAUUACAUUAAUUGAUUUUUAGGUGUUGAAUUCCUGUGAUAAACUCCACAUGGUUUUAGUGUAUGAUGUAUUGCAGGGUUCAUUUACUAUUUUUUUUUUUGAGAAUUCUUGUGUCUGUGUUCAUGGGAUAGCUGGUUCUGGUUUUCUUUUUUUAAUUUUCUUUCUCUAGUUUUAGCAUCAAACAUUUUAAUUUAUUUUUAUUUUAUUAGAAAAUAUAGGAUAGCAAUCAUGGCAGUUACUUAUUUAAAUGUCUACAGUGGAUUUCCAUUAUCUAGGAGAGUAAGUCUAGAUAAUGAGAAUAUUUUACUAUAUAUCAGAAUUUUAUUUUGAUAAUAUUUUACUUUAUAUCAGAAUUUUAAAUGUGUAUGCCUUACUUUGUAAGCUUUCCUAUUCUAAUCCCAUGCUGUACCUUUCACCUGCUCUCAUCUCUGGGCCUGUCUCAUUACUGAUAUCUUGCCUGUAGUUCUCCAAGCAUGCCAGCCACUGAUGGUCUUUUAGUUUCUCCACUAGCCAUUUUCCUACCACCAGAAAUAGCCUAUUCCAAGACCAUGUGUCUAUUAUCUUCUACUUUUUCUAGGCUCAGCUCAUAUCACCUCCUCAUGAUGAAUUUCCUAAAACUGCAAGUAUUGCUGAUUAUUCCCUUCCUUGUGCCUCUAAUCCACUCUGUAUCGAUGUCUAUUGUAGCACUUAUUUCCCUCCCUCUACUGGUUAGUAAGUACUUAAACAAAUAAAUAAUAUUUAGUAAUU
rnacentral:lncRNA from 9 species